rnacentral:rRNA from 1 species
UACGAAGGGUGCAAACGUUGCUCGGAAUUAUUGGGCGUAAAGCGCGCGUAGGCGGCUUGGCAAGUCGGAUGUGAAAUCCCUCGGCUCAACCAAGGAAGUGCAUCCGAAACUGCUGAGCUUGAGUACUUAAGAGGAUCGCGGAAUUCCCGGUGUAGAGGUGAAAUUCGUAGAUAUCGGGAGGAACACCUAUGGCGAAGGCAGCUCGCUGGGACGUUACUGACGCUGAGACGCGAAAGCGUGGGGAGCAAACAGG